UGGGGAAUAUUGCACAAUGGGCGAAAGCCUGAUGCAGCGACGCCGCGUGAGGGAUGACGGCCUUCGGGUUGUAAACCUCUUUCAGCAGGGACGAAGCGCAAGUGACGGUACCUGCAGAAGAAGCACCGCCUAACUACGUGCCAGCAUCCGCGGUAAUACGUAGGGUGCAAGCGUUGUCCGGAAUUACUGGGCGUAAAGAGUUCGUAGGCGGUUUGUCGCGUCGUUUGUGAAAACAAGCAGCUCAACUGCUGGCUUGCAGGCGAUACGGGCAGACUUGAGUACUGCAGGGGGGACUGGAAUUCCUGGUGUAGCGGUGAAAUGCGCAGAUAUCAGGAGGAACAACGGUGACGAAGGCGGGUCUCUGGGCAGUAACUGACGCUGAGGAACGAAAGCGUGGGUAGCGAACAGG
rnacentral:rRNA from 1 species